CUGGGGGGGGAGGGGUCCCUCAGCCUGGAUUGCGAGAGGGCACAGGCCAGGCUGAGGAACCCUGCCAGUUCACG
rfam:Myotis brandtii contig202243, whole genome shotgun sequence.